GCCCACGUAGCACAAUUGGUCAGUGCGUCAGACUUUUAAACCACGAUUUAAAGUGGAGACAUCUGAAUGUUGCGAGUUCGAGUCUCGUCGCGGGCG